AAGUCAUAACAAGGUUUCCGUAGGUGAACCUGCGGAAGGAUCAUUAAUAAUGCUCUCUGGCUUCGGUCAGCUGAGUUCAAUGAGUGCCUUCUCUUCGGAGUUGGCCAUCCACACACACCGUGAACUGUGGCUUCGGCCAUCACAAACUGUUAGUAAUGAAUGUAAUAUCAUAACAAAAACAAAACUUUUAACAACGGAUCUCUUGGCUCUC
rnacentral:misc_RNA from 2 species